rnacentral:rRNA from 1 species
AGAGGAAAGUGGAAUUCCUAGUGUAGCGGUGAAAUGCGUAGAUAUUAGGAAGAACACCAGUGGCGAAGGCGACUUUCUGGACGAAAACUGACGCUGAGGCGCGAAAGCCAGGGGAGCGAACGGGAUUAGAUACCCCGGUAGUCCUGGCCGUAAACGAUGGGUACUAGGUGUAGGAGGUAUCGACCCNUUCUGUGCCGGAGUUAACGCAAUAAGUACCCCGCCUGGGGAGUACGACCGCAAGGUUGAAACUCAAAGGAAUUGACGGGGGCCCGCACAAGCGGUGGAGUAUGUGGUUUAAUUCGACGCAACGCGAAGAACCUUACCAGGUCUUGACAUGAUGGACAGAACCAGAGAUGGUUCNUCUUCUUCGGAAGCCAGAAAACAGGUGGUGCACGGUUGUCGUCAGCUCGUGUCGCGAGAUGUUGGGUUAAGUCNNNCAANGAGCGCAACCCCUAUCUUAUGUUGCCAGCACGUAAAGGUGGGAGCUCAUGAGAGACUGCCGCAGACAAUGCGGAGGAAGGCGGGGAUGACGUCAAAUCAUCAUGCCCCUUAUGACCUGGGCUACACACGUACUACAAUGGGAGUUAAUAGACGGAAGCGAGAUCGCGAGAUGGAGCAAACCCGAGAAACACUCUCUCAGUUCGGAUCGUAGGCUGCAACUCGCCUACGUGAAGUCGGAAUCGCUAGUAAUCGCAGGUCAGCAUACUGCGGUGAAUACGUUCCCGGGCCUU